CAGAGGCAUUAGACUCAUAGUAUGGAAGGUAUUCCAUGCAAAAACAUCCCUUGCUUGUGUGUGUGGACAUUAACUGCCCUACUUUCACCUUGUCCUCUCCAAAUACAUUACCUUUCAGAUUGACAUCUAGGAUGGUCUGCCUGGGAAUGACACCUGUGACAUCAAUGAUGGCAGCAGUAUGGAUGACAACAGAGAUGCCCUGGCAAGCUCUCCUCAGGUUUGAAGACCUUGUCCAGGACCCUGAUCUCCUCAAGAUCUUUCUCCUGCACCAACAACUGGAUGAUCCUCUGGCCCAAAAACCCUCCUGCUCCAGUCACCAGGCAGCUCCACCCAGGCAUGGUCAACACUGGAAGCAGAUCACAGUUGUGCGAGGUUAAUGUAUCAUGGUCCUGGAGGUGGCUAGAAAGAGAGAUCUGGUGAUUUCCCCAAACCCAGUUUCUUCUUCAAACCUCCCAUAGAACAGAUCUCCAAGACAUGGAGAUUAAUUCCCACAUCACACACCAACGUAUUCCAAUAGGUACCAAUAAACUAUCAACUCAUAUGGUGUGGCUAUGUCAAAGUAUGGCUCCUUUACCUAAAUGCCUGUCUCAACCUGGAAUAAUUCACUUGUGCUUCUGAAGAAAUAGUCACAAAUUGGGGCUCAACAUAUCUUUACUAAGCAUGAUCAAGUUAUAUAAACAGUUCCUGGA
rnacentral:lncRNA from 1 species